rnacentral:tRNA from 1 species
GUCUCCGUGGCGCAAUAGGCUAGCGCGUCUGACUGUUAUGCUCAAGAGCUGUGUUAUCAGGAGGUUGGAAGUUCGAGCCUUCCCGGGGACG